rnacentral:rRNA from 1 species
CCUACGGGCGGCAGCAGUGGGGAAUAUUGGACAAUGGGGGCAACCCUGAUCCAGCCAUGCCGCGUGUGUGAAGAAGGCCCUCGGGUUGUAAAGCACUUUCAGUGAGGAAGAACGCCUGGUGGUUAAUACCCAUCAGGAAAGACAUCACUCACAGAAGAAGCACCGGCUAACUCCGUGCCAGCAGCCGCGGUAAUACGGAGGGUGUGAGCGUUAAUCGGAAUUACUGGGCGUAAAGCGCGCGUAGGUGGCUUGAUAAGCCGGUUGUGAAAGCCCCGGGCUCAACCUGGGAACGGCAUCCGGAACUGUCAAGCUAGAGUGCAGGAGAGGAAGGUAGAAUUCCCGGUGUAGCGGUGAAAUGCGUAGAGAUCGGGAGGAAUACCAGUGGCGAAGGCGGCCUUCUGGACUGACACUGACACUGAGGUGCGAAAGCGUGGGUAGCAAACAGGAUUAGAUACCCUAGUAGUC